UACGUAGGGUGCGAGCGUUAAUCGGAAUUACUGGGCGUAAAGCGUGCGCAGGCGGUUGGGUAAGACAGGUGUGAAAUCCCCGAGCUUAACUUGGGAACUGCACUUGUGACUGCUUAACUAGAGUAUGUCAGAGGGAGGUGGAAUUCCAAGUGUAGCAGUGAAAUGCGUAGAUAUUUGGAAGAACACCGAUGGCGAAGGCAGCCUCCUGGGAUAAUACUGACGCUCAUGCACGAAAGCGUGGGGAGCAAACAGG
rnacentral:rRNA from 1 species